UACGUAGGGGGCAAGCGUUGUCCGGAUUUAUUGGGCGUAAAGAGCGUGUAGGCGGCCAUACAGGUCAGCUGUGAAAACUCGAGGCUCAACCUCGAGACGUCGGUUGAAACCGUAUGGCUAGAGUCCGGAAGAGGAGAGUGGAAUUCCCGGUGUAGCGGUGAAAUGCGCAGAUAUCGGGAAGAACACCCGCGGCGAAGGCGGCUCUCUGGGACGGUACUGACGCUGAGGAGCGAAAGCGUGGGGAGCGAACAGG
rnacentral:rRNA from 1 species